CCAGCAGCUGCGGUAAUUCCAGCUCCAAUAGCGUAUAUUAAAGUUGUUGCAGUUAAAAAGCUCGUAGUUGAACUUCAGGCUUGGUUGGUUGGUCCGCCUCACGGUGUGUACUGAUCGACCGAGCCUUACCUCUUGGUGAGCUAGCAUGCCGUUUAUUCGGUGUGUUAGGGAACCAGGAUUUUUACUUUGAAAAAAUUAGAGUGUUCAAAGCAGGCCUAUGCCCGAAUACAUUAGCAUGGAAUAAUAGAAUAGGACGUGCGGUUCUAUUUUGUUGGUUUCUAGGAUCGCCGUAAUGAUUAAUAGGGAUAGUUGGGGGCAUUAGUAUUCAGUUGCUAGAGGUGAAAUUCUUG
rnacentral:rRNA from 1 species